UACGUAGGGUGCAAGCGUUGUCCGGAAUUAUUGGGCGUAAAGAGCUCGUAGGCGGUUUGUCGCGUCCGCUGUGAAAAUCCAGGGCUUAACCCUGGACCUGCAGUGGGUACGGGCAGACUAGAGUGCGGUAGGGGAGAUCGGAAUUCCUGGUGUAGCGGUGAAAUGCGCAGAUAUCAGGAGGAACACCGGUGGCGAAGGCGGUUCUCUGGGCAUGAUCUGACGUGAGGAGCGAAAGUGUGGGGGAGCGAACAGG
rnacentral:rRNA from 1 species